rnacentral:lncRNA from 1 species
AUACAACAGCUACGAGCACUGAGAUGAUGUGUGCAAGGAAUCAGAAGUGAAGCAAGAAGCUGAUGGAAGCCCAGAGUUAAAAUCUGAACAGGAUGUACCAGAGACCUCUUCAGCAGCAACUGCUGAAAGACCCACCAAUCCAAAACGUGGAAGUAAGAAUGGCUAUUAACAAAAGAGAAAAUAUAUAUUAAAUAAAAUUUCCCCAUCCCAAUUGAGAAAACUGCAAACAGUGAAGAUAUCAAACACGGAUGAGUUUCCUUGGAUUCCUAGAAUUACUUUAUUUUGAAGGAUUUAACAGUAGCACAGAAAUGUGGUGCAGCACAUGUCAUUUGAGUAGUCUUCCCAGCCUUUGAUAAAAGGAGAUGCAUAUGCAGGGGAUCUUGCAUUAUCUGCUGCAGUAAUACUGUCAGCAAACCAUUUUGGAAAAAUCUCUCAAAUGGCAAACUUUAUGAAGCUGACAUUCAUAAGUGCAAAUACCUUCUUCAGAAUGCAGCAUCAUUUUAUUGUUCCAACAAUAGAGUCCUUCUGGUAUUGAAUGAAGCAACACAUUUUAGAGGAACUACAUGGGAAAGUGGUGGUUAUUAUGGGUAAAUAAAGGUUUUUGAAGUUACAUUGCACAUUUUGUUUGUUUUUAUGCUGUAGCUUUUUUUUUUUUUUCUCCUAGCUCUCAUACUGCACUGUGCUUAUUAAAAUGGGUUACUUUGAUUUCACUCUUCUCCAAGAAAAAUGCUGUUUUUUUUCCUAACCAUACGGGAGAUGUUCAUAUGGAUGGACCAGGUUACUCUGCACAGUACUGUGUAUACUUGUUCAUGAAACUGGAAACAAAACAGAUACUAGCUAUUGAAAUGGUUGAUAAACAUAAGACGCAGCUGAACUCUCCUUUUAUGGAGAAAGAAACUUUUUAGAGAACAUUACAAAAAUUGGUAGAUGAACAGCUAAUGGUCGAAGAACUGGUUACUGAUGCACAUCCUCAGAUCUCUACAUUGAUAAAUCUACAUUUGAUCUGGAGCAGUUCCAGCAGCGCUUGUAUAUGUAUGCUACCAAGAUGUCUGAGUACACCUACCCUCUCUACAGAGCAAGAUGUUUUUGCAGUGAUUGAUUACAACAUGCAUUUGAACCGGCAAACUGCACAAUCAGCAAAAUCGGUUAAUAUACCGUAGAAUAUACCAUAGGGAAUCUGGAAGAUGGACUUUGGUACCUAAGAAAGAAGAAAAGCAGUAUGUUUAUAUUGAUGACAUAAUGGAGGAAAUAUUUCAGCGCUGUUUGGAAGCAUAGAAAGAGAUCACAGUCGAGCAGAACGCUUCAAAAAUGCAAAAUAAUGUGUGCUAAUUCAUUCAUUACAUCAUCUAAUGCCUCCAGACUUCUGCCUAUUGUAAUUGCUAACAAUAGUGCUUGGCUCUGUAGGAGGAUAUAGUUAACACUUAUUCUGGGUGCAAGGGGAAGAGGAGGUGAUACUCUGUAUUAAUAAAAACAAAAGAAAUCAGAAAUACUGGCGUUUU